AUUGCUUCUUGGCCUUUUGGCUAAGGUCAAAUAUAGUAUCUGUUCUUAUCAGUUUAAUAUAAGAGCUAAUAAUUAAUGUGUGUACUAUGUGCCAGUGUCUGCUCUUAUCAUUCCGUUAGUAAACUCAUGUAAGCCUCACACAAACUUAUUAGGUAGGUACUACUACUAUCCUUAUUUAAUAGAAAAGGC